AACAAACGCUGGCGGCGUGCCUAACACAUGCAAGUCGUACGAGAAAGUCGGCUUCGGCCGAUGAGUACAGUGGCGCACGGGUGAGUAGCGCGUGGGUAAUCUGCCCCCCGGUCAGGAAUAACCCGCCGAAAGGCGGGCUAAUACCCGAUAACACUGACGCUCCGCGGAGCGUCUUUCAAAGAAGGCCUCUGUUUACAAGCUUUCGCCGGAGGAUGAGCCCGCGUACCAUUAGCUAGUUGGCAGGGUAAUGGCCUACCAAGGCUACGAUGGUUAGCUGGUCUGAGAGGAUGGGCCAGCCACACUGGAACUGAGACACGGUCCAGACUCCUACGGGAGGCAGCAGUGAGGAAUCUUGCGCAAUGGGGGAAACCCUGACGCAGCAACGCCGCGUGAGUGAGGAAGGCCUUCGGGUCGUAAAGCUCUGUCAGAUGGGAAGAAAUGGAGUGGGGCGUAAUAUCGCCCAUCCUUGACGGUACCAUCAGAGGAAGCACCGGCUAACUCCG
rnacentral:rRNA from 1 species